GACGAACGCUGGCGGCGUGCUUAACACAUGUAAGUCGAACGAUGAACCCGGAGCUUGCUCCGGUGGAUUAGUGGCGAACGGGUGAGUAACACGUGAGUAACCUGCCCUUGACUCUGGGAUAACUGAGGGAAACUGUAGCUAAUACCGGAUACGACCCUCGGCGGCAUCGCCAGGGGGUGGAAAGAAUUUCGGUAAAGGAUGGACUCGCGGCCUAUCAGUUAGUUGGUGAGGUAACUGCUCACCAAGGCGACGACGUGUAGCAGGCCUGGGAGGGUGAACAGCCACACUGGGACUGAGACACGGCCCAGACUACUACGGGAGGCAGCAGGGGGGAAUAUUGCACAAUGGGCACGAGCCUGAUAUAGGAACGCCGCUUGGUGGAUGACGGCCUUCGGGUAGUAAACCUCUUUUAGUAGGGAAGAAGCGAAAGUUACGGUACCUGCAGAAAAAGCACCGGCUAACUACGUGCCAGCCGCCGCCGUAA
rnacentral:rRNA from 1 species